rnacentral:rRNA from 1 species
CCUACGGGUGGCAGCAGUGGGGAAUAUUGCGCAAUGGGCGAAAGCCUGACGCAGCGACGCCGCGUGAGGGAUGAAGGUCUUCGGAUCGUACACCUCUGUCAGCAGGGAAGAACGGUCACUGUGCUAAUCAGCAGUGAAUUGACGGUACCUGCAAAGGAAGCACCGGCUAACUCCGAGCCAGCAGCCGCGGUAAUACGGAGGGUGCGCGCUGUAAUCGGAAUUACUGGGCGUAAAGCGCUCGUAGGCGGUAUGUACAGUCAAGGGUGAAAUCCCCGCGCUCAACGUGGGAACUGCCUUUGAAACUGGCAAACUGGAGUGUGCGAGAGGAUAGUGGAAUUCCAGGUGUAGGAGUGAAAUCCGUAGAUAUCUGGAGGAACAUCAGUGGCGAAGGCGACUAUCUGGCACAUAACUGACGCUGAGGAGCGAAAGCGUGGGUAGCAAACAGGAUUAGAUACCCCUGUAGUC